AUUGAACGCUGGCGGCAUGCCUUACACAUGCAAGUCGAACGGUAACAGGUUAAGCUGACGAGUGGCGAACGGGUGAGUAAUACAUCGGAACGUGCCCAGUAGUGUGGGAUAGCCCGGCGAAAGCCUGAUUAAUACCGCAUACGACCUAAGGGUGAAAGUUGAGGCUCGCAAGACCUCUCGCUAUUGGAGCCUCCGAUGUCAGAUUAGCUAGUUGGUGGGGUAAAAGCUCACCAAGGCGACGAUCUGUAGCUGGUCUGAGAGGACGACCAGCCACACUGGGACUGAGACACGGCCCAGACUCCUACGGGAGGCAGCAGCGGGGAAUUUUGGACAAUGGGCGCAAGCCUGAUCCAGCCAUGCCGCGUGCGGGAAGAAGGCCUUCGGGUUGUAAACCGCUUUUGUCAGGGAAGAAAUCCUUUGGGUUAAUACCUCGGGGGGAUGACGGUACCUGAAGAAUAAGCACCGGCUAACUACGUG
rnacentral:rRNA from 1 species